AUUGAACGCUGGCGGCAUGCUUUACACAUGCAAGUCGAACGGUAACAGGCCGCAAGGUGCUGACGAGUGGCGAACGGGUGAGUAAUGCAUCGGAACGUGCCCAGUCGUGGGGGAUAACUACUCGAAAGAGUAGCUAAUACCGCAUACGAUCUAUGGAUGAAAGCGGGGGACCGUAAGGCCUCGCGCGAUUGGAGCGGCCGAUGUCAGAUUAGGUAGAUGGUGGGGUAAAGGUUCACCAAGCCAACGACCUGUAGCUGGUCUGAGAGGACGACCAGCCACACUAGGACUGGGACACGGCCCAGACUCCUACGGGAGGCAGCAGUGGGGAAUGUUGGACAAUGGGCGCAAGCCUGAUCCAGCAAUGCCGCGUGCAGGAAGAAGGCCUUCGGGUUGUAAACUGCUUUUGUACGGAACGAAACGGCUCUGGUUAAUACCCGGGGCUAAUGACGGUACCGUAAGAAUAAGCACCGGCUAACUACGUG
rnacentral:rRNA from 1 species